rnacentral:rRNA from 1 species
GAUGCAACGCGAAAAACCUUACCCACCUUUGACAUGUACGGAAUUUGCCAGAGAUGGCUUAGUGCUCGAAAGAGAGCCGUAACACAGGUGCUGCAUGGCUGUCGUCAGCUCGUGUCGUGAGAUGUUGGGUUAAGUCCCGCAACGAGCGCAACCCUUGUCAUUAGUUGCUACAUUUAGUUGGGCACUNUAAUGAGACUGCCGGUGACAAACCGGAGGAAGGUGGGGAUGACGUCAAGUCCUCAUGGCCCUUAUAGGUGGGGCUACACACGUCAUACAAUGGCUGGUACAAAGGGUUGCCAACCCGCGAGGGGGAGCUAAUCCCAUAAAACCAGUCGUAGUCCGGAUCGCAGUCUGCAACUCGACUGCGUGAAGUCGGAAUCGCUAGUAAUCGUGGAUCAGAAUGUCACGGUGAAUACGUUCCCGGGUCUUGUACACACCGCCCGUCACACCAUGGGAGCGGGUUCUGCCAGAAGUAGUUA